AACGAACGCUGGCGGCAGGCCUAACACAUGCAAGUCGAACGCCCUAGCAAUAGGGAGUGGCGCACAGGUGCGUAACGCGUGGGAAUAUGCCCUUCACUGCGGAAUAACGUUUGGAAACGAACGCUAAUACCGCAUAAUGACUCCGGUCCAAAGAUUUAUCGGUGAAGGAUUAGCCCGCGUUAGAUUAGCUAGUUGGUGAGGUAAUGGCUCACCAAGGCGACGAUCUAUAGCUGGUCUGAGAGGAUGAUCAGCCACACUGGGACUGAGACACGGCCCAGACUCCUACGGGAGGCAGCAGUGAGGAAUAUUGGACAAUGGGCGCAAGCCUGAUCCAGCCAUGCCGCGUGAGUGAAGAAGGCCUUCGGGUUGUAAAGCUCUUUCAGAUGUGAAGAUAAUGACGGUAGCAUCAGAAGAAGCCCCGGCUAAAUUACGUGCCAGCAGCCGCGGUAAU
rnacentral:rRNA from 1 species